GACGAGCCACACGAACGUUAUUCGGAAUUACUGGGCGUAAAGGGCGCGUAGGCGGCCUGCUAAGUCGAACGUGAAAUCCCUGGGCUCAACCCAGGAACUGCGUCCGAUACUGGUUGGCUUGAAUCCGGGAGAGGGACGUGGAAUUCCAGGUGUAGCGGUGGAAUGCGUAGAUAUCGGGAAGAAUACCGGUGGCGAAGGCGUUCCGCUGGGCCGUUGCUGACGCUGAGGCGCGACAGCGUGGGGAGCAAACAGG
rnacentral:rRNA from 1 species